UACGUAGGGGGCAAGCGUUGUCCGGAUUUAUUGGGCGUAAAGAGCGUGUAGGCGGCCUGAAAGGUCAGCUGUGAAAACUCGAGGCUCAACCUCGAGACGCCGGUUGAAACCAUCUGACUAGAGUCCGGAAGAGGAGAGUGGAAUUCCUGGUGUAGCGGUGAAAUGCGCAGAUAUCAGGAAGAACACCCGUGGCUAAGGCGGCUCUCUAGUACGGUACUGACGCUGAGACGCGAAAGCGUGGGGAGCGAACAGG
rnacentral:rRNA from 1 species